rnacentral:lncRNA from 1 species
AUAACCAGCCUUUAUAUUUGAAAGAGUGCCAGCUCAUUUAAUCAGGCUGUGUUUGAGAGGCAUGGAUGAAUUUAUUCUAUCUAACAUUUAAUAAAAAAUAAAUUAAAAAUGCGACUUAUGCCAAGACAUGCUUAACAUUACCCUUCCAGGUUUAAAUUUGAAAGUUGUCACUGCCCGCCCUGAUCUGGAAACUGACAUGUUAUCAAUCUCAGGCGUGGGUGACAAGCCUGCUGAUCUCUUCCCAAGGCUCUUGUUUAAUAAUUAAUUUUUCAUUGCAGGCAUGUUCAAUAAAUGGAUUACAAAACUGAAGCCCGUUUAAGAGGUUUUAGAAAUUCAUUAUUACUUUCAAAAGAUGAAUGUACAAGUUAACUAUUCCGUGAUGAAUGAGUCAUGCCAAAGACAGCCAGGUCCUCUGUGGUGUUAGCCUAUAUUUACACACAGAAUGGAGUGGGUUAGAAAGUCAGGGUGAUUUUGUACACAAUGUCACCGAGUCUCUGAGAACGUGAUGAUUUUCAAAGAAAGCUUUAAAAGGGAGAUUAGACGACACAGUUAUGCUUUGAACAUUUUACUCUUUGCUCUUAUUCUCAGAAGUCUCUGACACACAACCUCUGACCAGGCUUAGAGCUAUUUCUGCAGUCAGAACUUAGGCUCAGUCCCCACCUCCCCAAAUAAUAUGAUUUAAUUCAAAAGGAAUCUAUCAGUCACCACAUCUUAAUGUCCAUAAUUAAAUGCUAGUGCUUUAAAGUAAGCUAUUAUUUGUCAACUCUAAACCCACCAGCUUUGUGAUUCCCAGGAUGGAUCUCUGCACGCAGCACUUCCCCUUCCCCAUCUGGCUUCCUGUUCGUUCUUUCAAUAGAAUUUGCUCAGGGAAAAGCAACAGUGGGGAACAGGGCAACAUUUCAUCUUUGACCAGCUUUUUCAUUCACCAGGCGCGGGCACUCUAUCUACCCGGCAAUGUCACUCUGACUGCAGUACCUACCGAUUUCUGUUUACACUCCUGGAAUUAUGAGCAUCACAGCUGACCAGGUGUUCUUUCUUGUUUGGGAUACUUUAUCACAGAUGUGCUACCUCAGUUUGUUCUGAUUCUUUUGCCUUUAGAGUUAUUAUUAUUUAAUUCUAUUUCUCUCACACCUGUAUGUGGGCCUUGUUCAUGCUUAAGCUAAGCCUCGAAACCCUGGUCACUCUAAAUGAACAGUAGGUGUUUCCUCUCUUCCCGGGCAUGAAGCCACAGUGCUCUAUAGAUUUCUGUCCAUCAGUCACGUAGGGGCAACGCCCCAGACCCCUGCACAUGUAGAGGAUAUGAUCACAGGUCACAUAGACUUAAGACAGAUCUCCAUUUUAAUGAGGUACCUAAAGGUUUGGAGACAUACCCAAUAGUCCUUCCUUCCCAGACAGUCCUCCCUGCAAAAGGUAUUUAAUCUCAGGUCUGCCCUGAGAAGUGGGAUAUACUCUUUUUCAUCCAGUCUCCACCAUGAUAAUAAAUGGCUUAAAACCAUGGACUGCCUCUUUUCAUGGGGAUCUGCCGUGGGGAGCCAUGGAAAAGGCUUCUCUGUGCUCCCAGGCAUGGCCACCACCAAGCCAAAUCCCAACCUAGAGCCAACCAUGGCAGAUAAGCAAAGGACUCUCCCUGAGGGACCAGCUGAAGCUCAUCCCUUCUCCCCUAGCCCCAGGCUAGAUCCAGCCCUUGGGCCUCGACUCUGUUCUCAGCUCUUCUGUAGCUCCCAGCGAUGCCUGGGUGUCCAAGAGCCUGAGAACCCAGAUGGCCCGGGCCUUCUUGCAGGUCUGGACAUCCCGGAACCAGCUCCAGCUGUCCCUCCCCUCAGACUGUGCUCCCCCACCCCUGGACCUGCCCAGUGGCAGAGUGAGGUAUGCACAGUCAACUUCCUAUGUCCUGUUUUCCCAAACAAAUGGCCAAACCCUGUGGCAGAGCAGUCCUGGAACUCACAACCCUAUACCUGUAUAGACAUUACUUUUGUUAAAAUGUCUCUGUGUUAACAAAUGAUGCAAUUCUUAGUUUGCCAACUGGACCUCAGAUGUUUCAAGAGCUGUAGGCAAUCAAUCAUUGAACCAAUCAGUAAUUCUGUCUUUAGUGUCUCAACGGAAAUAAUAUAAUUAAAUAAAAAAAAGGAGUUCUGAUUUUCUUUCUAAGAUUACUGAAAAUAUAGUACAUAUGAGUUUACUCUUCACAGUUAAAAACAUUACUUUCUAUAUUACAUUAUUAGCAAAUUACUUUGCACAGUUUUAACUUAUUAUCCCCCACCUUUUACUGUUUUUAGCUAUGCUGUUUCUCAUGUGUUUUUCGGUCAAUAUGUGAGAAGAAAUGUAAUAGGAUAGUAGCUACAAUUGUGAGGGUCUCUUUGCUUACUAGACAUUGAAUAUAUUUGGAUACCUGGUGACUCAGUAUUCUCUCUCCCAUUCGUUCAAACAAACAAGCAAAUCAACAAAAGAGAACAACAUUCAGGUGGAACACAAAGAAGUUAUCCAUCUUCCAUUAACUUCUUUCAUUGUCACUGACAACUUUUUCCCAGAAAUCAUUCUACCUCAUAUGCCUGCUUCACAUUAUAGUUCACACAAGUUUCAACAAGAAGUAAUAUACCUUUCCCCACUUGAAAUCAGUGCUAAGAAACAAGAAGCAAAUAGUUAUUUUUUUUAAAGAUCCAAUGAUGACUGUUGUCAUAUUUCCCAUACUUGAUCAAUGUAAAUUAAGGAACAUAAACUAUCACACUUUCUUUUUUUUUCUAUUCAGUGUAUUUGUCUUUUUCAAUUUUACUUCACAAUUGACAACUAAGAUUCACAAUUAAGCUACAUACUAGUAUAAUAUUUUACUAAGGAAUAAAAUGUGGAUACUCCCUUUUUGACCUAAGCCAGUGUACUUCUAUUAUUUCAAAUGAACUUUCAACACUCUACUCGUUGUAGAGCACAUAUAUUCAAAAGUGUAAAUUUUGGUGUCUCAACUUUUGUAUAAAGUAUCCCCCUUGUGAUAUGUCUAGAUAUGGUUCCUUCCUUGCUAUUUCGCUGUAUUAUAUGUUCAUUUUAGUCCACUUAGGAUCACAUUAUCAGGUUAAAGUUUUAAAUAAUUAGAGACUCACCCUGCAGGCCUGAUUUACAUGCUGAUAAAGAGAAUUGAUUAGAAAUAAUUGUAAUAUAUUCUGGCCCUAGAAAAUUGUAGUCAUGAAACUUAGUGGCCUAUUUUCUAAGCUGUGUUGUAUUUUCUUCUGAGGCAGGCAUUUUUAUCAGCUCAGUCUGUGGGUAUGGCUAGUCUAGACUCCUUCAGGGCCUUCUAUCUGGAAUUAGUCAUUAAUUAGCCAGUGUUUGUGAACCACCCACUACAAUCAUCUAAGAAUGUCAGGGGGCUGUGAAGUGGAAACAGAAAUUAAGAAGUGCUCUGCAAUUAAAAGACCUCAUCUUUCGACGGCAGCUAGUAAUACACAUCAAAGAAUAAAUACAUCAAUAUCACAAUAUGCUGCACAAGUCAAAGUGAAGACCAUUGCGUCGUCAGUGCUAUCAGACUGCCGCUUUGUAAUGGGGAAGAAACGAUUUUGAAACUUUAGUAUUAAAGUCAAGUUGUCCCCUUCUAUUUACAGGAGGGGAACCUCAGCAUCAAGUUGGGUCUCCUGUGUCUCUUAAGAUAGUGACAGUCACUUUUCUCUUUCGUUACACUAUUGCAAUGCUAGAAGAGGAAGCACAAAGUACUUAGAAUAUAUAAGCAAAAGCGAUUGUCAGUUGAGAUGGCAACAGAUUUGGUUUCAUGUGGGUUUCUUUAUUUUAAGGUCUCCUGAAUUCACAGGCUAUAAUGUGAUUACUGCUAUGUUAACAGAAGAGAACAUUCAUUAUGAUGUAUUUCUAUAAAUACCUAUUGUUUAUUACAUAUUUAUCACAACAUUAGAAAGAUGUUUAGUCUAUUAAAUAUAGACAUGCAUCUCUCAACUGUAAUAUCAUCUACUAUAAAUUAAAUAUCUUUAACCUAAUUGUAUCUUCCUCCACCUUAUUAAAUAUUAAAGCAUGAUGAUUCUCGUACUUAUCAAAAUGUCUUAUAUUGCAACUUCUUCUUUUCUAUUUAUAUUUAUAGUGAGUGUAAUGUCCUUAAUGGAAACACUGUUAUUUUUGCUUUAAGGAAAAUUCAAUUCCUUUCUGUUUUAUGAGGGUCUUAUUUCAUUUUUGUUUAUUUUCCUCCCAACCUCAUCAUCAUUAUUCAUUUAUUAUUGUUUCCAGACCAAAUUCAGGUAGAAAUGUAGGUGGAAUUUAAAAGCAGUAGAAAUUGUAAUGAAUAAAUCCAUUUGAAGAGAACUGAAAUAAGGACAUGCUAAGCUGAUUAAAGAGAAAACAACAACAACAACAAAAAAAAAUCCUUACAAAUAAUAUAAGGCUAGAGAAAAUGCAUGUGCCUAGAGUACUCUAAUGAUAAUUCAAAAUAUGUUUUUCUCCUAAAUAUGGAUUUUUUUAAUUAAGACAUAUGAAGCAAGACACUAUUAGCCACACACUACUGACCUCAACACAUAUAGUCAAAUAUUUCACAAUAAACACUAAUCGGUCACUUGUUCUCAGAAGGGGGAAGAUUAGCCUCCCACUUCUGCUUUUAGUUUGUUUAAACACAGUAAGACUGGUUGUAUAAACUUGAGUUUAUACUUAAGAAGUCUGUGAACUCCAUUUUCACUUUGCCCGGUAGAUGCUCAUGAGUUAUGGACCACAGAGAGAAUCAAGAUACUGUCUCACAGAAAAAAAAAUGUAAUAAGAAAAUACAUUAUGAACUCUUGCCCAGAUGAGAUAUAUAAAUGGAAAUUAGAGUCAGAGACACACUGAAAGAGAACACUAAUAUUGAAAAUGUUAUUCAUUUAUGUCUUUAGGAAAGGAAGCAAAUCUAAGCAAUAUCAGGAAAAUAAGUCAUGAAGCAGACCAGAUGCCCUUCUCAUGUUCCCUCUGCAGUAAAAUAAUUAUUGAUAAUGAAAACGUUUCUCUGUUGUGAAAAGGGGGAAAUUUUUGUUAAAGUUACCAUGAAAGAGAUGAAAAAUUAAAGAAUAUAAAUAAGUGUAAAUUGUAAUACUUUAUUUAAAAUCAUAUAUAGAAAUAGUUACCUUCCC